AACCAUAGAAACCUGCGGAGUACCUGCGGAAGGAUCAUUACCGAGUUUACAACUCCCAAACCCCUGUGAACAUACCAAUUGUUGCCUCGGCGGAUCAGCCCGCUCCCGGUAAAACGGGACGGCCCGCCAGAGGACCCCUAAACUCUGUUUCUAUAUGUAACUUCUGAGUAAAACCAUAAAUAAAUCAAAACUUUUAGCAAUGGAUCU
rnacentral:misc_RNA from 1 species